GACGGGAACCCGCACAAGCGGUGGAGUAUGUUGUUUAAUUCGAAGAUACACGAAGAACCUUACCAGGUCUUGACAUACCAUUGACAGGCGCAGAGAUGUGCUCUUCUUCGGACAAUGGAUACAGGUGGUGCAUGGUUGUCGUCAGCUCGUGCCGUGAGGUGUUGGGUUAAGUCCCGCAACGAGCGCAACCCCUAUUGCUAGUUACUAACAUUAAGUUGAGGACUCUAGUGAGACUGCCAGUGACAAACUGGAGGAAGGUGGGGAUGACGUCAAAUCAUCAUGCCCUUUAUGACCUGGGCUACAAACGUACUACAAUGGCCAAUACAAAGAGAUGCGAAGUUGUGAGAUGGAGCGAACCUCAAAAAAAUGGUCUCAGUUCAGAUUGAAGUCUGCAACUCGACUUCAUGAAGGCGGAAUCGCUAGUAAUCGCGGGUCAGCAGACCGCGGUGAAUACGUUCCCGGGUUUU
rnacentral:rRNA from 1 species